AAGCUGUGCUCCCUGCCCCCC
rnacentral:miRNA from 1 species